rnacentral:rRNA from 1 species
UACGUAGGUGGCAAGCGUUGUCCGGAUUUACUGGGCGUAAAGAGCGCGCAGGCGGUCGUUCAAGUCGCGUGUGAAAGCCCCCGGCUCAACUGGGGAGGGUCACGCGAUACUGAUCGACUCGAAGGCAGGAGAGGGUAGUGGAAUUCCCGGUGUAGUGGUGAAAUGCGUAGAUAUCGGGAGGAACACCAGUGGCGAAGGCGACUCACUGGCCCGAUACUGACGCUGAGGCGCGAAAGCGUGGGGAGCAAACAGG